UAGGGAAUCUUCCGCAAUGGGCGAAAGCCUGACGGAGCAACGCCGCGUGAGUGAUGAAGGUUUUCGGAUCGUAAAGCUCUGUUGCCAGGGAAGCGGUACCUGAGAAGAAAGCCCCGGCUAACUACGUGCCAGCAGCCGCGGUAAUACGUAGGGGGCAAGCGUUGUCCGGAAUUAUUGGGCGUAAAGCGCGCGCAGGCGGUUCAUUAAGUUUGGUGUUUAAGACCAAGGUCAAACCCUGGUUCGCACUGAAAACUGGUGGACUUGAGUGCGGAAGAGGAAAGUGGAAUUCCACGUGUAGCGGUGAAAUGCGUAGAGAUGUGGAGGAACACCAGUGGCGAAGGCGACUUUCUGGGCUGAAACUGACGCUGAGGCGCGAAAGCGU
rnacentral:rRNA from 1 species